UACGUAGGGUGCGAGCGUUAAUCGGAAUUACUGGGCGUAAAGCGUGCGCAGGCGGUGAUGUAAGGCAGGUGUGAGAUCCCCGGGCUUAACCUGGGAACUGCAUUUGUGACUGCAUCGCUGGAGUGCGGCAGAGGGGGAUGGAAUUCCGCGUGUAGCAGUGAAAUGCGUAGAUAUGCGGAGGAACACCGAUGGCGAAGGCAAUCCCCUGGGCCUGCACUGACGCUCAUGCACGAAAGCGUGGGGAGCAAACAGG
rnacentral:rRNA from 1 species